UACGAAGGGGGCUAGCGUUGCUCGGAAUCACUGGGCGUAAAGCGCACGUAGGCGGCUUUUUAAGUCAGGGGUGAAAUCCUGGAGCUCAACUCCAGAACUGCCUUUGAUACUGAGAAGCUUGAGUCCGGGAGAGUGAGUGGAACUGCGAGUGUAGAGGUGAAAUUCGUAGAUAUUCGCAAGAACACCAGUGGCGAAGGCGCUCACUGGGCCCG
rnacentral:rRNA from 1 species